UUAGGAUAAGGUACAGGAGGGGACGCAGGGUGAUGAAAAGUCGGCCUCAGUGGAACAGCAGUGAUAUGACAGUUCCCAAAGGCUAUGCAUGAAACAGAGCGACUGUCACCUGUGUCAGCUGCCAGGAAUGCUCCCGUCUGACUGCGGGCUACAGAUCUUGCGACAUAUAAAAUAACAACUGUCAGGCGGUAGAAGAAGAAUGAAGUUUAACAGUGGAGCUGGGAGCUGGCGAGUAGGAGGCAGCUAGAGGAGCAGCAGCUGCCAGAAUGGGAAAGAUCAGACGGGAGAACGUUGCUGCCUGGAGAUGGAACGUUGAUGACCUGAAAUGAAUUGUGACAACCAAACAGCGAGCCCCAGAUGUCCUGUGCCGGCCGAAGCUAAGAGGCGCCCUUGUGUGUGUGACAGUGAAGUCGGUUCAGUAGACGCCGGACAGUCCUGGUGUAUGAAAGCACCUGCCUGAUGCUCAGGCCAGCUGGAUGAUGGAUGAGCAGAUGCAAUCCAAGGCAGCGUUCAAAUAUUGACUUGCACGGUCUUAAUUUAACCACUGUGACAGCAAGAUGUCUUAUUUGAGGGGUUUGUCUUUAAGAUGAAGAGGGAUAUUUACUAACAUUAUUCAAAGGGGCAAAUCUGCACUAAAACUACAGCAGCCAAUCAGACGGUUGCUUACACUGGAUGACCUGCCCUAUAAAAAUAAAAGCUAAUUGUUAAUUGAUCACGAGCAAUAUAGAAUCAGAAUCUGUUGUCUUUCCACUAAAAUGUGGGCAUACCUUUAAAAUCAUAUUUGGCAAUGUUUUUUAUGCCCCCUGGGUUUCGCAGAGAUCAGGGUGGGGUGUGGGGCAUGAUAUAAAAAAAGAGUUAUCACGCCCCAUCUCCCGAUGUAUAAAGCUACAACCUUUAGCAU